GCUGUUCACUUUUUUAUAGUUUAUUGAUAGUAAUUACCCAUGGUUUUUAUAUCAUCACUCGACCAGUAAUAAUCAUGGCUUUAAAAUUAAAUUGACUUCCUUAUCAUCCAAAGUCACCCUCGUCCAUUUAAACAAGCAAUAGAAAAAUAUAUACUUAAUACUUUAUACAAUACUGGUUUUGGUCCAAACAAAAGUGGAUCAGAAAAGCCAAUAUACCUUUAUUCAUCAAAGGCUUCCCAAUUUGCAUUUAUGUUCCUUUUAAAUGGAUUCGGGCAACUUUGAAUAUAGGGAUUUACAUAAUAAAUUCUAAAGACAAAAAAUGCAGAAUGCAGAGUUGGUAACACACAGAAAUUCAACUUCACAGAUAAAAAAAAAAAAAACUAUUUACAGGUUUUUUAUAAUAAUAUUCGAAGGCCAAUUAAGAGAUUAAGAGGAAGAGGCAGAGAGAAUGGGAGGGUGGGAGAAGCACAGAGAGCAGGGGUGAAGCCAGCCAGGUGGAGAAAGAAUUAGAACGGAUUGUGGAACCACUCGUUUAUACAGAAGUUCUGAGAGAAGCGGACGUCUAAAAGGCUUCUACCCCUUCGCCCACCCUCUGCCUCUCCGUUCUAUAAGUCUGCCUCUUAGGGCUCGUUUUAAACACAUUCAUUUGCUAUCUCACCUAUGACAACAGGCCACCCCCCCCGCGGCACACUCCAGAGGAUUCGGUUCAUAUGCGCACAAACACACACACACAGUCAAAACACUGACACGCAAGGAGCGCACUAGAGAAACAUAAUCUGCAUGUACAAAAAAAAAAAACAUCAUACACACCUCAAGUCUGUACAUGAGGCGAGGAGAUAGGGGGGGUAACAAGCACGCUUCAUCCGUCACACGGAAACACUCUUAUCUCUGUACAUACAGCACACACACACACACACACACGGCAUCAUCACCAUGGCAACGUCCCAUAGCUGCACCCGUCGCGGCGUCUCAAUAAACGGAGAGCGCUCGCUAGAUGGCGUCGUGCGCAGCGGUUGCCACCGGCGACCAGCCAAACAGCUCUCGCUACCUCUACGCGUAUUGCAGCUCAAUAACCUGAUCACCCAUAGCUGAACUCGACGACAGGGCGCCGUGUACAUUCGCAACUCUUUAGAUUUGCAGUUUUUGCCUUUGUAAUUUUAUUUCCAAAAAAGACAAAAAAAAAAAAGAAAAAAAAAAAGAGGAAAAAAAAAGUCAUGCCUAAAGUCUAGCAGACAGACAGAAAAUAGAGAGAUGACAGUCUUGGGUUUGUUUGUUUCAAAUGCCAAGCAAAGGUUUCUUUACUCGAUCGCGUCUCGGGAGUCGUCUCUGUUGUCAUCAUGUUGUCGAUUCUGAUCACAGGUCUUAAUCCGUAUCGUUUAAGAGGGUCACCUUCACCAACCAGGCCACCUGGUCUACUCUGAGGUGAAGCCCCUAGUCCAGCCCUGCGAUGACCGUCUAGCCCUUAGGGGAGGAGACGCCUCCCCGUCCAGGGGGGUUCCCUCACAUGCCACGCCCUGGAGCAGGGGAGGGGAGGGGGAGGGGGGGGGCUGGUGGAGAGCGUCCAGGACAUCGGUCAGCCUUUCAGGUUGGAUUCUAAAGGUCAAAGGUCAAGUCUAAUUCGAGUCCAGGUUGCGGGAAGCGAGGGCGAGGAGGAGGUGGGGCAGGUGGGGGUUCACUUCCUGCGCCGUACCGCCGUCUUGAUCUUGCGCCCGGCGAUGGGCGCCUGGCCAGCGGGGGUCGCUGUGAAGGUCUUGGCCGACCUGGAGAGAGUCAUGACAUCAUCGUCAACAAAGACUAAAGGCAAUCCCAGGUAGAGCAGGAAAGGAACAUCACAAGUAGCAAUAACUAUACCAGAACAGCUAAAGCAUGAACUCUGCAGCUUCCCUUAACAAUCAGUAGCAGGACAACGGGCGCUAUAGUACUAUCAUCUUUGUCUCGUUUCAGUGAUCUGUAAUCUGUGUAAGUCCUCGAGCCACGCAGUGGGAACACUUUACAGUUAAAUGCGUCAUCAUGCUCCUCAGCACGGGUUCUUUACGACGGCUUCAUCCAGGGCUGAUGCAGACGAGCUCCGAGGGGCUCCGGCUCGGCCUUUAGCAGAGCCUCAUAUUUACCCGAUGUUGAACGCGGGCGGCUGGGAGAAGGUGAACCCUGCUUGAGCCGUCUGCUGGGGGGCCGCGGAGGGGGCGGCGGAAAGGGCCGGGGGGGCGCCACCUCCGAAGGCAAACACCCCCGUGUUGUUGGCGGGGGCUCCAAACGGAGUGGCGCCGCCAAACUGGAACCCU
ensembl:lncRNA